CUUCACCGAACCCAGCCACAACGGCGAAGCGCCCUCGGCCCGCCCGGAACCGUAGGUCGCGAUCAGCGCCUGCGCCUC
rnacentral:antisense_RNA from 1 species